CCUACGGGGCGCAGCAGUGGGGAAUAUUGGACAAUGGGGGAAACCCUGAUCCAGCGACGCCGCGUGAGUGAAGAAGUAUUUCGGUACGUAAAGCUCUAUCAGCAGGAAAGAAAAUGACGGUACCUGACUAAGAAGCCCCGGCUAACUACGUGCCAGCAGCCGCGGUAAUACGUAGGGGGCAAGCGUUAUCCGGAAUCACUGGGUGUAAAGGGAGCGUAGACGGCUGUGCAAGCCUGAAGUGAAAGGCGGGGGCCCAACCCCUGGACUGCUUUGGGAACUGUACGGCUGGAGUGCAGGAGAGGUAA
rnacentral:rRNA from 1 species